rnacentral:rRNA from 2 species
CCUACGGGAGGCAGCAGUGGGGAAUAUUGGACAAUGGGCGCAAGCCUGAUCCAGCAAUGCCGCGUGAGUGAUGAAGGCCUUAGGGUUGUAAAGCUCUUUUACCCGGGAAGAUAAUGACUGUACCGGGAGAAUAAGCCCCGGCUAACUCCGUGCCAGCAGCCGCGGUAAU